UAAUAGGAACCUAAGAGCGUAUGGUGGAUGCCUAGACUUGAAAAGGCGAUGAAAGACGCGGCUUGGCGGCGAUAUGCUUCGGGGAGGUGCCUAGCAACCUUUGAUCCGGAGAUCUCUGAAUGGGGAAACCCGAUCUCGUACAUCGAGAUUAUCCCGACGUAUCGUCGGGAAGCGCACCCAGGGAAGUGAAACAUCUCAGUACCUGGAGGAAAAGAAACCAACCCAUUGCUCAUACUACGGCGUACACUUCGGUGUAAUCCGUAGUCUGAGCGAUGGAACAUUCCCUUAGUAGCGGCGAGCGAAAAGGGAUGAGCCCAAACCGGUACAUCACACAGAGUGUGAUGCCGCGAGUUAAAAGUUAAUAAAGUUCAUAAAGUAAAAAAGUGAAUGUGAAUUCACUUUACAAACUUUAUCAACCUUCUACUUUAUAAACUUGUGGACAUCGCGCGUUGCGUGAUGUACCGGGGUUGUAAGGGGCACACGUCGCAUUUAUGCGAGAAAAGUUAUAAAUGGUAAUUAUAGUCGAAGCUUUUGGAAAGAAGCGCCCCAGAGGGUAAUGGCCCCGUAGACGAAAUAAUUAUCACUUUUUUGUGUGCCAUCUUGAGUACCUCAAGACAUGAAUAGCUUGGGGGAAUCUACCGGAACUAACCGGUAAGGCUAAAUACUUUUCAAGAUCGAUAGUGAACUAGUACCGUGAGGGAAAGGUGAAAAGUAGCCCGGUAAGGGCAGUGAAAUAGACCUGAAACCAUACGCUUACAAUGAGUGGGAGCGGGCAUCACACAGAGUGUGAUGCCGCGAGUUAAAAGUUAAUAAAGUUCAUAAAGUAAAAAAGUGAAUGAGAAUUCACUUUA
rnacentral:ncRNA from 1 species